rnacentral:ncRNA from 2 species
CUUUAAUAUGGCGAUGGAGUCCGCCGGGGUGGAGGUGGCAUCACCCAAACCGCAUUGACGCUGAUGGCUCCUGAUCUCAC